rnacentral:rRNA from 1 species
UACGAAGGGGGCUAGCGUUGCUCGGAAUCACUGGGCGUAAAGGGUGCGUAGGCGGGUCUUUAAGUCAGGGGUGAAAUCCUGGAGCUCAACUCCAGAACUGCCUUUGAUACUGAAGAUCUUGAGUUCGGGAGAGGUGAGUGGAACUGCGAGUGUAGAGGUGAAAUUCGUAGAUAUUCGGAGGAACACCAGAAGCGAAGGCGGCUCACUGGCCCGAUACUGACGCUGAGGCGCGAAAGCGUGGGAGCAAACAGG